CAGUUAAUACAUAUGUCAGACUUGGUGUGCCAGGAGGCCUCUGUUGCAACUAUUCAACUUCACUGCUGCAGGGUGACAGCAGCCAGAGCACACAUAUACAAACAUGUGUGGCUGUCUCCAAUAAAAAUUUAUUUCCAAAAGUAGGUAGAGUAUCAAAUUUGGCCCAUGGGCUGUGGUUUGCUGUCCCAGGUCUAGGUCAUUUUAGGUAAUGCUUGCCAAAACUCUGGUAAACAUGGGCAGCCUGUGGUAACAGCCCAUGAAAAGGUGGAUUUUAUUUGCAUUGGAGGAAUAGAGACUGAGAACUGAGAAGUCAUUGAUGUACAACCUUUCACCUUCACCUCCAGGACUUUCCCCAGGCUCCAGCAGGGUGAUCUGGCCACUCCAUGCAUCUCCAAAAGCUGCUGGUUCCAGAUAAUGCUGUGGAAUAAGUUCCUCUGGAUGUGCUCGCUCUCUUGCUCUCUUAAAGGGAGAAGAAUUGAAGGCCCUGGGAUUUGCUCAGACAUCACCUGGAAGGGGUUGGAGUCAGAACUAGAGCCUGGGUCUUCAAACUCCCUAUUUUUCUUUCCACUGUUGUGUGUGUUCUCGAAACUGAAGUCCAGCAGUAGCAGUUCGCCUCUUGUUCCUGGACCUCUCAGGAGAUUCCCCUCUUGGAUGGCGGGGACGGCUCGCCAUGACCGGGAGAUGGCUAUCCAGGCCAAGAAAAAGCUCACCAUGGCCACGGACCCCAUUGAAAGACUCCGGCUGCAAUGUCUGGCCAGGGGCUCCGCAGGCAUCAAAGGACUUGGCAGAGCGUUUCGAAUUAUGGAUGACAAUAAUAGCCGGACCCUUGAUUUCAAAGAAUUUGUGAAAGGGUUAAAUGAUUAUGCUGUGGUCAUGGAAAAGGAAGAGGCAGAAGAGCUGUUCCAGAGGUUUGAUAAAGAUGGAAACGGGACGAUCGACUUCAAUGAGUUUCUUCUCACAUUAAGACCUCCGAUGUCCAGAGCCAGAAAAGAGGUAAUUAUGCAAGCUUUUAGAAAGUUAGACAAGACUGGAGAUGGUGUUAUAACAAUUGAAGAUCUUCGUGAGGUGUACAACGCAAAACACCAUCCAAAGUACCAAAAUGGAGAAUGGACGGAGGAACAAGUGUUCAGGAAAUUUCUGGAUAACUUUGAUUCACCCUAUGACAAAGAUGGAUUGGAUGGAACUCCAUUUUUUCAAAGGUAAAAUGUUACUUGCCCUAUCAAGGACAUGAAGUGUUGUUUGUGACUUUCUGAUGUAUCCUAGAAAGACAAUAUUAACUACAAUUAAAGAACAUUGUUUCUUAUCUUGAGUUUCAGUCUCACAUAUCUGAAUAGAUGGGCUCCUCCUGCUCCCAAGAAAGGCCUGCACCUAUUUCCCACUUCCCAUUUAGAUUGAUGUGGAAAUUUUCGAGACUUUCUCUCUUUCCUUAAGCCACCCCUUGCGGCCAUCCUCAACUUCACUUUUUCUCUUGUUUUAGAAGUAUUCCCCAGUUGUGCCACUAAAAAAGGCUCAUUGGCUGCAAUUUCCCUCCCAUUUACAGGUAUUGCUGACAGACUUCCUUGAAAUGGUUUCAAAAGAAGACUUUUUGAACUAUUACGCUGGUGUUAGUGCUUCUAUUGACACCGAUGCCUAUUUCAUUUUAAUGAUGACAAAAUCCUGGAGAUUAUAACUUUUGUCUAUUCUUUUGGAAAUAAGGGACUCAGAAUGAAUAAAUUUGAAAGAAGUCUGAUGCUACAGAUUUUGAUAAGGUGUAAACUAAAGUUUCUGAAAGAUCUGGGAUUUUAAAAGCAAUAGAUCUUCGGUCAUCUUAAUUGUAAUAAUUAAAGGUAAUUGUAAUAAUUAAAAGGAUUGUAGGAACAUCUGACUAUACAAUUUCCUGGGCUCAUUCAUUUUAAUGUUUCUCUUGGUAAAUAAAAUAAAACGUAUUUAAUUUUGAAAUUUAAUGACUUCUUUGGUUGCUAUUCAUAUUUUAAUUCAGGAUUUAUAUUCAGCAAAUCCCCACACUUGCAUGGGCAGGGGACAUAAGUGAUUCUGUGACAAAAGGUAAGUGACUCUGUGGCCUGCUGGGUUGAAGGCUGGGCUCUCAUGGGGUGGGAUCACUUACUAGAUUAGCCUACUGGGAUGAAAAGCAAUGCACAGAGCAAAGAAAGUGCCUGUUGGUGUCUUCUGGAGCUUUAGGGUUACCUGGGAGGAGGGCUUUGAAACUAUUUUAGGAAUUCAUCCUUUGAACCCACUUCUAAGCUCCUCUCCAAGGGGUCGUGAUAUCAGGUUUUCUGACCCCAAAGCUUUCCCUGUAAAAACUGCUCCAGUAACACAAAUGGCUAUAAAUUGAUUACAUACAUACUCAUAGGCCCUUCAUCUUGGAAAAGAGUUAAAACUGAGGGAGAGGAAAUAGAAGGCUAGCACUCUAUUUCUUAAACUUUAAUGGGCACAUAAAUCACUUGGGGAUCUUGUUAAUAGGCUUAUUCUGAUUCAGAAGUCUGGAGCCAGAACUGAACCACAGCCUUUCUGAAAGUCACACUAUGACGCUGAUGACUCUGGUCUUCGGGUAACACUUUGGGUGGCAAAGGGCCAGGAGAUACCAGGUUGCGUAUUUCCAGUGCAUUUGGUUUAUUACUUGCCCAUCUUUAUGGUCAUCAUAAUUGAUGGUUUUUGAUUGCUGAGCCAUCCUCUCCUUAUCUUUAAAGUCAUGAAGGUCUGAAGGAAGUAUCAGAAAAAACAUCUAAGGCCUUCCAAGAAACCUUGUGUGGCCACUCAGUUGGAGAACUUCUCAUAGUCCAGGAUGAAGUCCUGCAGCCGUCCAGUCUCAGAGAUGUGAAUGUGUCAGUCCAUUGAGAGUAGCUCUAUUUCUUAAAAGAGACCAACACUGAGCAAGCUUAUAGCAACUGAUGCUAAAACUGGGAUGCUAAGCCAUUAAUCACUAUGGAGAAUGCAGUUCUCAUGUUUGCUGAGACCAGAUCAGAGAACCUUGCCUGGGUUUGAGGGUAUCAGAGAACACCAGCUUAGCUCUCAGUGCAGGAGUGCUUUUAGCAGAUAAUUCUAUAAUCUUACUCAGCCGUGCAGAGGACAGACCCAUGACAUGUUAGGGUAAUGCCAGCUGCAGUAAGAAACCCUCAAACUUACAAAAGCUCAAACAUGUAUUCUCACUCACAAAGCACUCUGUGGAUCAGCUGUUCAUGGUCAGUGAGCAGCCUUCCUCUGUAUAGUGAUCCUGGGCUGCAGGAUUCCUCCAUUUCGUGGUUGCACUGUUUCCUAGGGUUUGUAAUCCAUGCUGUCCAUGUAGAUAAAGGGAAAGGGGGUGUAGAGGAGGCUGAAGAAUUUUCUGAAAAGCUUUGGUCUGAAAGUGACACACAUCACUUCUACUUGCAUUCCAUUUGACGAUAAUUAGACAUGAUUACAUCUAAAAGUAAGGGAGGCUAGGAAGUAUAGUCCCAGAAGGGAAUCUUCUUGUCAAUGAAAAUCAAACUAAUGGCAGAUUAUAAAUUUUGGUGGACACUAGCUGUCUCUGCCACUUGAAGCUGCAGUCCCCACUGCCUUCCAUUUUCUUAUGGAGGCAUGCUUGGUCUUGGAAGCCCACAUAGAGAGAGAUAUUUGCCAGUUGGGAGGAGUGUAGAACUGAGGUCUUUCUAUCCUUAGUCAUGUUAGCAGCAAAGAAAACACCUAUGACCAUGUCAGGUAAUAUUUUUCUAAGCAGUCAACCCUAUCAUUAGGGCCUUAUGGUCGCAUUAUAGGCCUUGGGAUUCAUGCUGCACCAACACUAAGGCAGCCAGCUCAUCCCUCAUCCACCUCUGAUACAGGCCUAGGGAUUUUCCAUCCAUGUCCCAGUGGGGGUUAUCAGUGGGGAGUUUCAGCUGUCCUCGCACACAUACUGGAGGCGAGUUAUUUGUGUUGGUGGAUAAGAAAAGUUUUGCCCUAAAGGCAGAUCCUCUUGUUGGAAACCAAAUUAUAAUAAUGAGAUGAUUUGGUCAUUAGAAUCAGAACAAAGGGCAUGAAGAUUAGAAUAUUUAUAAAAUUAGGCUGACAAUUUAUUGCAUUCGUCUUGCCAGUGAGACCAUAAUAUUCCACAAUGAAUAUUGGAGGGGACUAACAAAGAUGCCCUUUCUGACCGCUCUUUCUCAAUGCCUCAUAGCUGACUACCCAUAAGAGUGACACACUCUGCACUUUAGAUAUAUUAAUUAGACAUAUCAAUAAAAUCACUCAGGGUGAUUGUCUGCCUGGGUUGAUGUCUCUUUAGGGUACCUUUAUAUACCUCUGUUCUAUCAUUGUGCAUAAAAUAUCACAAUAAUUUUAAUGUUGCUUGGAGAGCUAUGUUAUUUCAAUGUUAUCUGGAGUAUGCCUUACUAUAGCCCCAGUAAACUGACCACAGAAAUCAGAUGGUUUCUUAUUUCAUAUUAGAGAGAAAAAUUAAAUCAGAAGAGAAUGAUCUUAUCUGGAGAUGAUUCAUCAGAAUAAUUAAUCAACAUUGUUUAAUAAAUCACAUGAAGGAGAUUUAAGGGAUUGCAAGUGUUACAAACUGACAAUUAAAGUUAAAUAUUAUUAUAGAAGGAAAUUAUAGGAAAAAUUUUAGAAUCAGGUAGAAUUAAAAACCAGAAUAUCAUUUAGAUAUUAGAUCUGACACGUAAUGCCAGCUACCAAAAAAAAAAAAAAAGUAGGAGAGUCUUACUUUCUUGGAUUGCAAGAGCCUAGGAAGUAGACAUUUGCCCAUGUUUCUCAUUUUCACUCGGAUGUGAGCACAUCCAAAACAACAUUCACUAUUCCUUUCCCCUUCUUCCAUCAGUCCCACCCCUCUUCUACCUACACCAAGCAUGUUUCUAGGCCUUAGUAUCUGAGCACUAUGUCUCCAACUGCCUGAGCCAGAAAUCCAAGGAUCUUUGUUCCUUCUCUUGCCAAGAGGCAGAGUAACAUUGGCUAAGAGUACAGAUGCUGGAGCCAUCCUGCCUGGUUUAAAAUCUGACCCAGUGGUUUACCAGCUGUGUGACCUGCCUUGCAGAAUUCAGUCUCAGAAUUGUAACAUCACCUCUUCCCUAAUGACAUCUUGCUCUACAGAUUUUGGACAUGUCAGUCCUCAUAAUCAUGUGAACCAAUUUCUAAAAAUAAAACUCUCUCUCUUCCUACACACACACUAUUGGUUCUGUUUCUCUGGAGAACCCUAAUACAGAAGUGCAAGGGGCCUGAGGACCCCUGAAAUAAGAAUCAAACAUCUGAAGAAAGAGCAUUCUUGCUGGGGACUAUGUCUCUAACUUGGGGGGGCCUGCCCUAAUUCUGGGUGGUUAGUGCCAGAACUGAAUUGCCCUACACUCAUCUGGGGUUGAAACAGAGUUGAGAUAAGUCAUUAUUUGCUAAACUUGCUCAUAUUUCAAGGUCCGGUUCAGAAGUUAAACCCUUUACAAAGAUUUCGUCAAUCUUCCAGCAAGAUCAACCUAUUCUUUUAUUCUUCUAUGCCUCUUUUGUUGAGUAUGUAUGUAUCUUUAUAUUACAAUCUACUAGUUAGAUGUAUAAGGAAUAUUUAUUUUCUCUAAUAGACGUUUAGACUUGGAGCACUGCCCCAUUUAGGAUGACUGGCAGAAAAUAAAACAAAUCUUUCCUGGUUCUGUCACCUAAGGUUAUUGUAUGGUUCUUAGAUCUGGUAUUCAGGGGAGGGAGAAGGGUAUAACCCCAAUUCAUAUGGGUUAUCCCUGAGACAUCUACUGUCCCUGUUCCCAGGGUCUCUUAAAUCCACAGAAUCUUGGUAGCUUCUGUACCAUACUUGGGAAAUGACUAUUUUAAGAAGCUGUCAAUGGGGUGAAUGAGGAACUCCCUUUGGACAGAUCUAUGGAUGUCUAAGUGAGAAAUACAACAGGCAGUUGGCUAUCCAUUCAUUCAACCAACUAGGAUUUAUUGAACAAAUAUUAGGUGUUACCAGUGAGUACUAGGUGUUGGGGAUUUAGCCUUGAACAAAAGAAAUAUGGAAGUUCAGCCUAACAGACAUGAUUCUAAAGUUCAGAGUGUAGGUCUCGAUGACUAGGAAAAUCUUGAAGGUGAGGGACCAAUGAAUGUAAUGAAAAAGGCGAAGGUACAGGAGAGAUCAGAUGACUAAAGAGGCAAAGUUCUGGAGUAAGAGCGAGGGAUGGAGAAAAGGACAUUAAUGGUUGAUUUGUUCUUUCACUGUUGGAAGGGUGUCUCAUCUUUUGCCUAAGGAAAGAAUUGGUAGGGAUUUAAAGACAGGAAAUAGAGAGGAAACAUGAGUUAUGGCCCAGUUUUCUUGAAGUAAAGGUAAAAUCUGCUGGGAAUGGGAAGAGCUGACAUUCAAUGGAGGACCUGAAAUGAGAGGUGGAGACUUGGCAGUAACCAUAAAGAGCCCUAGGAGAGGGUGCUGCCAAGAACAAGUAGAGAAAAACACAAAUUUGUAUGGACACAAUUUCACAGCAUUAUGAGACUUUCACCAGGACACAUUAGCAAGAUAGGUACAGAAGCAGAGAUGCAACUUGAAGAGACAUAUCAUCUCAUCUUGUUCCAUAGCAUUCAUCACUGAAAUUUGCACACAAGAGGUGUGCUCAAUAAACUGCAGUGGAAUUCAAUAAUUAUAUAAAAUGUGGAACAAUAGGGGAUCUUAAAGUUCACUGUGAUACUGUCCAUAUCACAAGGAAGAAAUCAUAUUAUGACUAUAGAACAGCAAAAUCUCAUUUUUUGAGUAAGUCAGUGUCAAGAUUAUUCUAGAAAAAUAAACUUAAUGGAAAAAAGAGAAAGAAUAAUUCCAAGUAAGAAUUAUAAAGAAAUACAUUUAAAUUUCAUGCUUAGAAGAGAAGUGCCCCCCCCACCCAGUUAACAAUUUUUAUGAGAAAUGGCCACAUUUCUUUGGCUCUUAGAUUAAGAGAUCUACAAAUACCGGAAUCCUUCCAUCGCCCAAUCACUUUUCCCUCCCCAAAAGUUCCCAGUAUAGAUUUAGAGAAAAGCCAUUUCACUGAGUAAUGCAGAGAAGGUGGCUGUAGGCCUGCUGGUGUGUGGAUGGGACAGGGAGAGAGAGCUUCCUCAGCUGGGGGCAAUAUCUGUGUCAUCUUCCGGUGAAUGUGGCCUCAUAUCUAUCCUCAUAACUGAUUGGAGUGGGUUACAUUAAUGGCCUGACUCCACCCAUUUCUUUAUCUACCUGCUUUACUUUAUGAUUUAGAGUCCCUACACAAGACGGAGUAUAUUUCUUCCAUCCUUGAUUCUGGGUUUGGCCACAUGACCUGCUUGACCAAUAGGAGGAGGUGGAAGUAACAGGUGUGUAGGUUCAGAGCUUACGCCUCAGGAGGUCUUUGUGUUCCUGGUUGCUCUCUUGUGCCUGUGCUAUAAAAAUGAUAAGCUUGGAUAGCCUUUUUGUCUCAGGAAGAAGAUAGGAAAUCAUGGAGCAAUUGUAUUUUCAGCUGAAAGCAGAAUGAUUCAGAGGGCUUCCAUUCAGUUGCAGAUGCCUGAGCCAUCCCAGCUUAUACGAGUAGAACCACCCAGCAGAACCCAACCUAGAUCAUUCAACUCCCAUACAAUGGACAAUUUCUAAGAAUAAAUGAUGUUGUUUAUAGCCACAGAGUUUUGGUAUAGUUUGUUACUGAGCAUCAUUGUAACAAUAGCUAACAGAUAUGUUGUUCAAUCUGGUGUUUUCUCCUGGUGGGAAUGAUAGAAUCGUAGGAGAAGGAAGUAAGACAGAACUGAUCUCUGAAGUUUCCUCUUCCUAGAUGCUUUUGACAAAAUGGCAUGAACAUUUUCCUUUAUCUGCAUGUAAACCUCUACCAUGUUUCUUUUAGUGAUUUUGUUAAUAUUUCAUACUAUGGAUAUGCUAUAUUUUAUUUAGAAAAUAUGUAAUUUUUCUCUAUUAUGAGCAGUACUGUAUAGAUAUUUCUGUUCAUAUUUUUUUAGCCUUUUUGUGAUUGGUUUCUGUAGAAAACUCUUAAAAGUGAAAUUUCUGGGUAACUUAGAUUUUGCUCUGCAUUUCCAAAUUGCCCUCUUAAAAGUUUAUACCCAAAGAAAACAAAAUCCCUUAUUUGAAAAACUAUAUAUGCACCCUUAUGUUUACUACUGCAUUAUUUAUAAUAACCAAGAUAUGGAAGCAACCUAAGUGUCCAUCAAUAGAUGAAUGGAUAAAGAAGAUGUGGUGCAUAUACCCAAGGAAUAUUAUUCAGCCAUAAAAAGAAAAUUCUUCCAUGUGCAACAACAUGGAUGGACCUGAAGGGUAUUAUGCUAAGUGAAAUAAGGCAGGUGGAGAAAGAUAAACACCAUAUGAUUUCACUUAUUUGUGGAAUAUAAAUACAAAGAAAGCAGUAGACUCACAGACACUGAGAAGUGAUUGGUGGUUACCAUGGGGGAAGGGUUGGGGUGGGUGGAUGGGGAGGAUGUGGGAGAUAAAGGGGCACAAAAAUUCUCAGUCAUAAUAUAAGUUGGUCACAGGGAUGUAGUACAGCAUAGAGAAUAUAGCCAAUGAUUCUGUAAUAUCUUCCUAUAUUGGUAGUAACUGCACCAGGGGGGUGAGGAUUUAAUAGUAUGGAUAACUGUUUAGCCACUGAACUACUUGAAACCAAUAUAAGAUUAUAUAUCAAUGACACUUCAAUUUUAAAAAGUUUGUACUAAUUUAAACUCCUACCAACAGCAUAUAAGAAAGCCUAUUUUCCCAUAUUCUUCUCAGCAUAGAAGUUGAUCAGUCUUUUUAAUUUUCACAAUUUAAUAGGCAAAAAUUUAUCUCAUUACUGUAUUUGCAUUUUUUAUUCUGAAUGAGAUACAGCAUAGUUUCAUAUUUCAAAAGUCAGUUUCACAUCUUUUGUGAACUCUGAUAAUGUGCUUUGUCCAUUUUCUUUGGAUUGUUCGUUUUUUGCUUACUGACUUGUAGGAUUCUGGAUUACCACUUUGCCUGCCGUGUUUUUCUAGUUCAUUUUUAUCUUUUCUUUGUGUUGUGCAUUUUAUAAAUACAGUAAAGAAAUUGCCAAUAUUCUGAAUUGUGCAUACUCAAAUGUAUCAGUCUUUUUCUUAUAUGACUUCUGCAUUGUCUGUCUUUUAAAGAAAUGCUUGCAAUAUCCAAAAAUCAUGAAAUGAUUCACUGAUGUCUUCUAGCAUAUUUGUUUUCAUUUGAAAACUUACUUAUAUCUUUGAUCUAUGCAGGUUUAUUUUCAAAUAAGAAGUUGGUUAGUACUUUCCUCAUCUACAAAUGGCUAGUAUAUUGUUCCAAUUUCAUUUAUUAAAUAAUCUACUUUUUUUCCACUAGUUGGAAGUAAGUGAACAUAUUUAGAGUGCCUGAAUCUGGACACAUAGGUUUUCUAUUCUCGUUCAUUGAUUGUUCUUUCAAAAAUAAAAAAACAAAAAAAGAAAAUAUAAGUAAAGAUAUCUAGAAUUUUUAGGCAAAAAAAGCCUUGCAGUUUUUGGUUCUGAUAAUAACUGUCUUUUUCAUCACAUCUAAAUGUAUAAUGAAAGUAAUUAUAUUGUCUUUAAAAAGUGUUAAAAUCAUUUGUAUCUUCCCUUCUCAAUUCUUUUCUUCUCCAGAAUUGUGCAUGGUCUUCUUGAACAUGUAUUUUCCACAUGACCUUUAGAAUAACAGCAUAUAUAUAUAUAUGUAUGCAUAUGAUGUGGAAAUCUACACAUAAUGAUUGAAUUUGACUAUUUCUCAGGGGUGGGAUUGGGGAUUGAAGUACUUUGUUACAUUAUAUGUAUCUGUGUUUCUUGAAUUUGGGGGAACAAGCAUUUAUUUAGUAAUAAUAAUUCAAUAAUUAUUUAAAGAAAUAACAUGAAAAUAUUACAGUCAAAGACCUUAAUGAAUCUUUGUAUCUUUCAGAGAAUUUUUUUCACUUGAUCCCCUUGUGUUUUCCAGAUAUGCAACAUUCCAUCUGCCAAUGAUGAUCAUUUGGUUCCUCCUGUUUAAUAUUUAUGUUUUGUCCUUUGUCUCUGUCUAAUUGUAUUUCCUAGCAUUUCUAGAACAAUGUUAAAUGUGAUAACAGUGGAAUUUCUUUUGUUUUCAAUCUCUAAAUUUAAUGAAAUACUUUUAAUAUUUCACCAUUGAGUAUGACUCUGGCUUAUAUUCUAUUUUAUUAUUUUACUAAAGCUUUUUAUUUAAAAAGAACCCUAAGCAUCAUUCAAAUCUACAUUGGCAACUUCACACUUAAAUUCAUGAGGUUGUUAAUACUUAAAAAAGGGAUUUUACAACAUAUUCCUCAGUCUCAUGCUACAGCAUUUAUUUAAUUUCUAUCUAAUUAGAUGAAAUAUUCCUUAGGUUAUUAAAGUAAUAUUUCAUUGCUAUCCAUAGAUAAGUGUCUUCAGCUGAAUAUUAAAAUGUGUUCUGAUUACUUGACAUUUUUGCCUAAUGACUAAUGCAAUUUACAUUUUGUUAGCAACUAAUUUGUCAUUUAAAAAAGAAAAAAGUCCUUAGCCUCUGUAAGUUCUCUUCUUGAUGAGAAAUUUUUACCCAGAGUAGAAAGGAAUUGGCCAUUAUAAUUUACAGUUGAAGGACCUACCAGAUUAUCUCAAGUGUUUCUGCAGAAUUCACUGAAACUUUAUUUUUCAGAUCUCAGGGGAUGUGUGUGUCAUUCACUCCACAUUGGCUUGGCCAGUGUCUUGAGGAGUGAGAUGUAUUCCUCAGACCCCCAGGUUUUAUGCAUCGCACUUUGUCUCAACAGCUGCUUCAUUGCAAGCUGUAUACAAAUCCCACAGAGAUGCCACAAGCCAUUAAAGAAGUUACGUUAGAAUUCAAUGUGGAUCUAAAAUAAACUGAAUACAUGAACAAACAUAAUCACAUGCAGAUAUUCAUCAGAGAAAUGAAGCUUUGGAAAAUUCUCCCCCUACCCAUCCUGCCCUUGCUGUCCCUCCUCUUCUGUGGUUACAGUGGUUAACAGUGCAGCUGGGGAGGUAACUGUGGAUGAAGAAGGCAACUGACUCCUUGCACGUGGCUGCCCAGAUGUGCUAAUCUCUCAGGGAUGCAGUGCCUGCCUGUCUGAGCAUCCUACCCUGGCAUUCUUCUAUACUAAAUGGCGAAGAGGAAGCAUAUCAUUCACUAAUAUGUUGAUUCAUUUGUUUCACAUUUAUGAGUAGGUGCCUUCUAGAUGUUAGAUACUGUGUUCAGCAACAGACAUAAACCUCAAUGAGUCAUAGUCC